UUUCAGAAACUAUGGGAUUGGACUGCAAUUUUUGCUAGGGUUUCUUCUUCUUCUUCUUUUUCCUCCUCCCAUGGCCGACCCUAACACCAUUGUUGCCUAUCUUCCACUCCGAUUUGCCUCCUUGCUCGCCGUCGACCAUCGACCACCGCCCCGUGGCCACCGCUUCAUCACCGUCGGUGAAGAAAAUCUCGAGGUUAUUGAACCCGGGAUCGAGGAUUAGAGCGAAUCUUUCAGAGUUCAUCGUUUAGACCAAGGUGAGGGAACUCGACAACCCACGGACACAUUUUUAUUAGACAGUCUCUCGCAAGAAUUCAAAAACUCUCAUGGCUUCGUUACACCACGUUGCUCAAGGAACGCCAUAACACUCCGACCUCGAUAACCUUCCUUAUUCUUCUCCGUCGUCUUCACUCUGCAACUCCUCGCUGCUUCACCCAACUCAUGAUUUCUCUUUAGGACAACCAUUGACGCGGUUUCAGAUUUAUCUGUUCGAAAUGGAUAUGCUUCAGUUUUGUUUUGUUUUUCUGUUUCCUUGAUCUUUCUGUUCAUGUAGAGCUUUUGUUCGUUGCUUA